AUGCAGUCGAGCGGAAGAGGGAGCUUGCUCCCGGAUUCAGCGGCGGACGGGUGAGUAACACCUGGGAAUCUGCCUGGUAGUGGGGGAUAACGUUCGGAAACGGGCGCUAAUACCGCAUACGUCCUACGGGAGAAAGCAGGGGAUCUUCGGACCUUGCGCUAUCAGAUGAGCCCAGGUCGGAUUAGCUAGUAGGUGAGGUAAUGGCUCACCUAGGCGACGAUCCGUAACUGGUCUGAGAGGAUGAUCAGUCACACUGGAACUGAGACACGGUCCAGACUCCUACGGGAGGCAGCAGUGGGGAAUAUUGGACAAUGGGGGAAACCCUGAUCCAGCCAUGCCGCGUGUGUGAAGAAGGUCUUCGGAUUGUAAAGCACUUUAAGUUGGGAGGAAGGGUUGUUGGCUAAUAUCCAGCAAUUUUGACGUUACCGACAGAAUAAGCACCGGCUAACUCUGUGCCAGCAGCCGCGGUAAUACAGAGGGUGCAAGCGUUAAUCGGAAUUACUGGGCGUAAAGCGCGCGUAGGUGGUUCAGUAAGAUGGGUGUGAAAUCCCCGGGCUUAACCUGGGAACUGCUUUCAUAACUGCUGAGCUAGAGUACGGUAGAGGGUAGUGGAAUUUCCUGUGUAGCGGUGAAAUGCGUAGAUAUAGGAAGGAACACCAGUGGCGAAGGCGACUACCUGGACUGAUACUGACACUGAGGUGCGAAAGCGUGGG
rnacentral:rRNA from 1 species